AGGAAAACGCAGGAAGGAAAAAGUCGCCCGUGUCAGGUGCUCGCUCAGAGAGUGAGCAACUCUGAAACUGUGUCAAAAGAAAGGUCUAGGACGAGUCCCUAGGAAGAAAAUGCUGUAAUGAACAUGAAUGCCAAGUUGCAGAAGCCAGCCCCAUUCACAUGCCAUUUCCCA
rnacentral:lncRNA from 1 species